GACGAACGCUGGCGGCGUGCUUAACACAUGCAAGUCGAACGAUGAAGCCUAGCUUGCUAGGUGGAUUAGUGGCGAACGGGUGAGUAAUACGUGAGUGACCUACCUUUGACUCUGGGAUAAGCCUGGGAAACUGGGUCUAAUACCGGAUACGACCAAUCUCCGCAUGGGGUGUUGGUGGAAAGCGUUAUGGAGUGGUUUUAGAUGGGCUCACGGCCUAUCAGCUUGUUGGUGAGGUAAUGGCUUACCAAGGCGACGACGGGUAGCCGGCCUGAGAGGGUGACCGGCCACACUGGGAUGAGACACGGCCCAGACUCCUACGGGAGGCAGCAGUGGGGAAUAUUGCACAAUGGGCGCAACUGAUGCGGCGACGCCGCGUGAGGGACGACGGCUUUCGGGUUGUAAACCUUGUUAGCAUCGAAGAAGCGAAAGUGACGGUAGGUCAGAGAAAGCGCCG
rnacentral:rRNA from 1 species